rnacentral:rRNA from 1 species
UACGUAGGGCGCAAGCGUUGUCCGGAAUUAUUGGGCGUAAAGAGCUCGUAGGCGGUUUGUCGCGUCUGCCGUGAAAGCCCGGGGCUUAACUCCGGGUCUGCGGUGGAUACGGGCAGACUAGAGGCAGGUAGGGGAGAACGGAAUUCCCGGUGUAGCGGUGAAAUGCGCAGAUAUCGGGAGGAACACCGGUGGCGAAGGCGGCUCACUGGCUCGUAACUGACGCUCAUGCACGACAGCGUGGGGAUCAAACAGG